rnacentral:rRNA from 1 species
GACGAACGCUGGCGGCGUGCUUAACACAUGCAAGUCGAACGGAAAGGCCCUGCUUUUGUGGGGUGCUCGAGUGGCGAACGGGUGAGUAACACGUGAGUAACCUGCCCUUGACUUUGGGAUAACUUCAGGAAACUGGGGCUAAUACCGGAUAGGAGCUCCUGCUGCAUGGGGGGGGUUGGAAAGUGUCGGCGGUUGGGGAUGGACUCGGGGCUUAUCAGCUUGUUGGUGGGGUAGUGGCUUACCAAGGCUUCGACGGGUAGCCGGCCUGGGAGGGUGACCGGCCACAUGGGGACUGAGAUACGGCGCAGACUCGUAUGGGAGGCAGCAGUGGAGAGUAUUGCACAAUGGGCGGAAGCCUGAUACAGCAACGCCGCGUGCGGGAUGACGGCCUUCGGGGGAUAAACCGCUUUCGCCUGUGACGAAGCGUUAGUGACGGUAAUGGGUAAAGAAGCACCGGCUAACUACGUG